ACGGCCAUACCUAGGCGAAAACACCAGUUCCCGUCCGAUCACUGCAGUUAAGCGUCUGAGGGUCUCGUUAGUACUAUGGUUGGAGACAACAUGGGAAUCCGGGAUGCUGUAGGCU
rnacentral:rRNA from 2 species